rnacentral:lncRNA from 1 species
CCCACUUCCUUCUGAGGAGAGCUCCCUUCUGGCCAGGCCUAUUUCAAGUUUGAGGGAUGAAGAAUCCACACAAUGGGGCUGACAGUGACCAAACUAGAGGGGAGACAUAUAUACUCCAGCCCAAUUCUGCACUGAAGGACAAGGACUGCUGCAAAAGAAAUGAGACCCUCAAAAUAAAUGAAAGGCACACAGCUCAGCCACUAAGGAGAAUUUACUAUCCUUAUGCAGUUUCUUUUUGUAAUGCUAACCGCCCUCCAAAUUCCUCCAAAGUAAACACAUGGAUUAGUAAAUGAGAAAGAAACAAUGCUUAAAACAACUAUGGGUAACAUACCUGUUUCAAGUCGCGUAGAAUACUGAUAUAAGAAAUAUAAAUUGACCAAAUAAAGAAAUCCAGUUCCUGGACCCACAGGGAAAUAAAAGGUGGCAGUGAUUGGCCUCCAAAUCUGUCCAGAUCAAAAUAAACACAGCUGUUAGUUUC